rnacentral:rRNA from 1 species
AACGAACGCUGGCGGCAUGCCUAACACAUGCAAGUCGAACGAGACCUUCGGGUCUAGUGGCGCACGGGUGCGUAACGCGUGGGAACCUGCCCUUAGGUUCGAAAUAACUCCCCGAAAGGGGUGCUAAUACCGGAUAAUGUCUUCGGACCAAAGAUUUAUCGACUUUGGAUGGGCCCGCGUUGGAUUAGCUAGUUGGUAGGGUAAAAGCCUACCAAGGCGACGAUCCAUAGCUGGUCUGAGAGGAUGAUCAGCCACACUGGGACUGAGACACGGCCCAGACUCCUACGGGAGGCAGCAGUGGGGAAUAUUGGACAAUGGGCGAAAGCCUGAUCCAGCAAUGCCGCGUGAGUGAUGAAGGCCUUAGGGUUGUAAAGCUCUUUUACCCGGGAUGAUAAUGACAGUACCGGGAGAAUAAGCUCCGGCUAACUCCGUG